AGCUCUCCCCUAGAAGUCUCUCAUCAGCAGUACUGUGUGACUAUCAGCUCCUGCCCUCUCUAGUCCUGGGGACCAGAUCUAUUUAAGACAACUGGUGCUCUGCAUUUCCAAUUUGAGCUCAGACCGAGAAGGAACACAUUUGUAACUCUGCAGAGGAAGCUGCCUGGAGGCAGAAGCAAAACCCAUCAGGCUUUCAGCUGAAUGAGCCAUCCUUCUCCAGUCUCCCUGUGGAGUCUCUCUUCUCUGUCUUUUUGACCAUUACCACACUUUCGGGAAAGGCUGUGCCUGCAAGUGCAUGGGGAAAGUCUUCAGUGGGCUGAGCAUGAGGCAUCAAGGGGGUUUCAGAGAAAAUGGCCAAGCUGGAGAAUGGGUGAGUGCCUCAAGAAUAUCUUAAAGUAGAGACUAAAGAAGGAAACUACAGGCUGAGUGGAUAGACAAAAA
rnacentral:lncRNA from 1 species